AUACGGAGGAUGCGAGCGUUAUCCGGAUUUAUUGGGUUUAAAGGGUGCGUAGGCGGCACGGAAAGUCAGCGGUAAAAAUGCGGUGCUCAACGCCGUACAGCCGUUGAAACUGACGGGCUAGCGUACGCCAGGAGCAUGCGGAAUGCGCGGUGUAGCGGUGAAAUGCAUAGAUAUCGCGCAGAACUCCGAUCGCGAAGGCAGCAUGCUAUGGCGAAACGGACGCUGAGGCACGAAAGCGCGGGGAUCGAACAGGAUUAGAUACCCUGGUAGUCCGCGCAGUAAACGAUGAGCGCUAACUGUCCGGUCCGAACGGGGGCUGGGGGGUAAAGCGAAAGCGUUAAGCGCUCCACCUGGGGAGUACGCCGGCAACGGUGAA
rnacentral:rRNA from 1 species